rnacentral:rRNA from 1 species
UACGUAGGGGGCAAGCGUUGUCCGGAAUCAUUGGGCGUAAAGAGCGCGUAGGCGGUCCGGUAAGUCGGUUGUGAAAACUGGGGGCUCAACCCUCAGAGGCCGACCGAUACUGUCGGGCUAGAGUCCGGAAGAGGCGAGUGGAAUUCCUGGUGUAGCGGUGAAAUGCGCAGAUAUCAGGAGGAACACCAAUGGCGAAGGCAGCUCGCUGGGACGGUACUGACGCUGAGGCACGAAAGCGUGGGGAGCAAACAGG